AGUGAACGCUGGCGGUAGGCCUAACACAUGCAAGUCGAACGGCAGCACAGUAAGAGCUUGCUCUUACGGGUGGCGAGUGGCGGACGGGUGAGGAAUACAUCGGAAUCUACUUUUUCGUGGGGGAUAACGUAGGGAAACUUACGCUAAUACCGCAUACGACCUACGGGUGAAAGCAGGGGAUCUUCGGACCUUGCGCGAUUGAAUGAGCCGAUGUCGUAUUAGCUAGUUGGCGGGGUAAAGGCCCACCAAGGCGACGAUCCGUAGCUGGUCUGAGAGGAUGGUCAGCCACACUGGAGCUGAGACGCGGUCAAGGGGCCUAAGAGAGGGAGCAGUGGGGAAUGUUGGACAAUGGGGGGGAGCAUGAUACAGCCAUACCGCGUGUGUGAAGGAGGCCUUCGGGUUGUAAAGACCUUUUGUUGGGAAAGAAAAGCAGCAGGUUAAUACCCCGCUGUUCUGACGGUACCCAAAGAAUAAGCACCGGCUAACUUCGUG
rnacentral:rRNA from 1 species